rnacentral:lncRNA from 1 species
AUAUUUGAAGAUGUUGUAAAUGGUUUCUAAUUCGCGGGGUACCUCUAACAUUACAAGUGUAUACUAUGUCUGUCAAAAGGGCUUCAUUGCAACAAAAUGUCUUGUUGAAGAUUCUUGAAUUCCUUUACAGCCAGAUAGUAUAUGCAAACUCAGCGACUACCAUUUUGAAGAUGACUGCUCGGCAUGUUCGACCCUUGGCUUUGCUUACAAGCCACUGCAUUUUCUGGUUCUAGGCAGUGAUGUGAGGAUAAGUCUCCUUCAGCCAGUGCAUUGUUUUCUCCCAUAAUUCAACUGUGACUGGGCAGAAUAGUAGGCAGUGAUGUGAGGAUAAGGCUCCUUCAGCCAGUGCAUUGUUUUCUCCCAUAAUUCAACUGUGACUGGGCAGAAUAGUAGCAAAUGGUCCCUGGUCUCUGGAUGGUUUUGGCAUAACUUACAUUGUAACGUAAUCUUCUUUGAUCAAUCACAAUGGAAAGAAUCAUUCCUUUACUAACGUGAAGUAAAAAAAAUAUGCUAGGAAUUUCAUUUUUGGUACUCAAACCAUUCAAAUCAGUAAUAAAUCCUAGUAUAGUAAAAAUUCUACCAUACUCAUCUCUCCAGAUUCAGACUAAAACAACAUUAGCAAUAUAAAAGGAAUAAUAGCCAAAAUAAAUUUCUAUUUAGGGGACAAAGCCAACUUCCAAGUUUAAAGGCACAGUCAGUUGAUGGCAUAAUACCAAACAAUGAUAAGAACUGUUAAAUCCCACGGAGAAACAAAUAAUUAUCAUUGCCUUAGCAUUAUAAGCAUGUUCUCAUUGAAUCAAAAGGAGAAUUACAUGUCCGGGAAAAGAAAAACGGUACCUUGUAGCAGUAAUAAGUCCUUAAACAGGAUAAUCACAUUUUAAUAUGGUGAUAGCACCAUUAAAUCCAGAAGGAAAAGAACAACAUUACCUUAGUAGCAGUAAUAAGUGCUUAAAAUCGCCAAUUCAUGGGUGAUAAACGCUACAAAUUGGAGCUCAGCGAAAUAACACUUGAACAUCAACUCGCAGUACAUCGAGAGUUAGCAGUCAACAGCAGCUCAGCGAAGCAGGAUCCCAGCACUUUUACACAAACAGAUAUCCAGAUAUUCCGAGAAAUGAGUGUGAAAAUCAGUAGUAACCAUCUUGAGCAAUUUAAAUUCCUAUCCCAUUUUAUGUAGAACCUUCAGUGCAUGUGUGCAUUAAUGAAAUUAGAGAGGAAGGAGGGGGGGAAGGACUGUGUGAUUUUUCUCUAGCUUAGGUCUGUGUGUAUUUUUGACAAGAAGCAAAAGAUGAGCAGCAAGGUCAAAAAUUAGGAGACGUUUUCAACGCCAUUUUUGCUCUUCAGAGAUCUCCGAUCUAGGGAUUUUUUUGGGUCUUUUUGAUCUGAUCUCUGUGUGUGGGUGUGAAGGAGUCAAGAAGGAGAAUCAGCGCUUGGGAAUGGGACAUGCUAUAUGCGUGUCUCUAAGGGGGAAAGGGUUUGUACAGGUCGGGUCAGCGGGUUGGAUUGGGUUUGUGGGCUGUUGGGGCCCCGAUGUUGGGUAGAGUGACUUGGCUUAGGAUUUUAUAUUAGAAUUGGCCCAAGUGUAUUGACUUAAUAAGACCUCUUUUAUUUCCAUUGUUUUUCUUUUCCUUCUUUUAUCUAAUUUUGUUUUUGU